UUGUGGAGAAAGUUCGUUGUAUGUUGUCUAAUGCUGAGUUAGGCAGAGAGUUUUGGGCUGAGGCUGUGACAUGCGCUCAACAUCUCGUCAAUCGUUUGCCAUCUUCUGCUAUAGAUGGCAAAACCCCGUUAGAGGUAUGGACUGGAAAACCUACAACUGAUUAUGAUUCUUUGCAUGUUUUUGGUUCUAUUGCAUAUUAUCAUGUGAUUGAAUCAAAGUUGGAUCCACGGGCAAAGAAAGCUCUUUUCAUGGGCUUUAGUCCUGGAGUGAAGGGAUACCGUUUGUGGUGUCUAGAGGCAAAGAAGACGAUUAUCAGCAGGGAUGUUACCUUUGAUGAAUCUGCCAUGUUAAAGAAGGUAAAUCCAGAAGGAGCUGAUAGUACUCCGCAACAGGUGUAGUUUGAGCCGACAGUGGUGAUCCCAACACGAAAUACCAUAAGUGACUCUCUUAUGGCAGAAGAAGAGUCAGAUGAGGAAGAGGUUCCUACCCAAGAAUCUCAACAGCAAUCAGCGCCAAUUGCAGUUNNNNNNNNNNNNNNNNNNNNNNNNNNNNNNNNNNNNNNNNNNNNNNNNNNNNNNNNNNNNNNNNNNNNNNNNNNNNNNNNNNNNNNNNNNNNNNNNNNNNAGAAUCCUGCAGAUAUGCUCACCAAGGUGGUUACAAGGACCAAGUUUGAACACUGUUUAGACUUGGUUAAUAUCUUGCACAUUUGAAGUUGGCGCCCGGAGGCGCAAAUUUGAAGCACUGCAAAGUUUGUUUUUGUUAUGUUUUGAGAAGAUUUGUUUUAGGUGGGACUUGAAAUUAAGCCAAGGUGAAGAUUUGUUGAUUUUGGCUUAAUCCCAAGUCCCACAUCGGUGGGUUCAUUGUUUGGGAAGGAGGUUUGAGGGUUAUAAAUUAACAUCUCCUCCUUCACUCUUAUAUAUCCCAAUUUGUAAUAUCUUCUCCCAUAAUAAUAAAAGUAAGCUGUUUUUGCUGUGCUCGGAGAUUAGGCUAAAUUGGCCGAACUCCGUUAACAAUUUUCUGGUGUGUUUUUUCCUCUUUAUCUCUUUUAUUAUUCCGCUUUAUUUAUUCAAUAUUAUUUGUCGGGUAGCUUUGUUAUGGUUUUGUUUUAGUGGGAAAAUUACCCGUUUUUCCCAACAAAUGAUGGUCGUGAGAAUGAUAAAUUUAGAUAACAUUCUACUCAACCUAUCAUGAGACUCAAAUUGAAUAGAUAAGAAAAAGAAAAUCUUGAUAGAAGGGUGAAGUUGCAUUAAAAUGAGUUUGAUGUUUCUUUAUACCUGCAAUGAGUUAAAUUCACCUAUAGGAUCGAGGCAUGAAGGUGAACUAAACUUUCUAAAGUCAAAACACAAUUCAAUGAGAGUAUAAUUUGAGGGUUCUAUUUUAACAAAUUUCAUGAGAGGUUAUCCAAGAAGAUGACACUAGUGCAAAAAAACUCAUUUAUUACACCAAAUACACAUUGUUUUUAUUGUCAAACAUUGUCCAUCAAAAUGCAAUGAUAUUUUUUUAAAUUAAAACGAGUAUAAAAUGACGAUUGUAAGUAUAACCGCCGUUUUAGAUCAAAGCGUCUUGGUAUAAAAUGGCAGUUGUAGGUGGAACUGCCUACAAAAGCAGAGGAGGUUGUAGUGACAGUAAUUGUAUUGAGUCUUGAAUUGUUCAAGUGGAGAGUUUGAGAAGAACAAUAAUUUUUUAUUAGUUCAGUAGUACGUAACUUGUAAUUGACAUGUCAUAUAUUUUACGUAAUUUUGGUUCAUAUCAUUUUGUGUUGUUCUUCUAAUGCAUAUUUUAUUGUGGAGAUUUCGUGUUAUCUGAAGACCAAUGCGAAAUAUUUCUGAAAUUUCGUUAAAUAUAAGAAAUGUUGAUUAAAGUUAAGUACUAUUAAAUUAUAAUAAAAGUGAAUCUUCUCGAAAGGGAUAAGUUCAUACCUAUAAUAAAAACGUGAGAUUUAACAUGCAUUAGUGAACACCUCAAUGACCAUUACAGAACAUAAUGAAUCGAGAUUGGAUUAAUCUGUUCACAUAAGUGAUGAUGGAGUAAAGUUUAGGUGUCCGUGCGUUAAUUGUUUGAACGAAAGGAGAUUGGAUGUUAACAAAAUCAGGGAGCACCUUCUAUGUGAUGAGUUUCUACGAUCUUAUACAACAUGGGCAUGGCAUGGUGAUCUUCUAAGUGUUUACGUGUUGUACAUGUGGUAACCAAAUCUCGAUCAGAAGUCUUGCAAGCACAUUUGUAUAUAUUGAAUAACACAGAUGAGGUUAUACCUUACAUAGAUGCUCAUAAAGCCAUCGUGAAGGCAAAUAACCCAAGACAACUAGCGAAAUGGGUCUUGAUGGAACAUAAUAUAACUUUCAUGCCUUGGUUUAAAGAUGAGGUGUUAAAGGAUUCAACGACAUCAGAGACCUUGACCUGGUUGGCUUCUGGAUUCAAGUUUGAAGUCAUUUCUUGUACAAGUUACGCAAUGAACAAUUGUAUAUCUUACACGAAGUCUAUGGAUGAAAAUAGUACAACUCAAAAUUAUAGUGCUACUCUUGAAGCUAAGUUAAUGCAUUUUUUUUUACUUUAAAAGAUACAAAUUUUGUAGAUGGAUGAAUGACAUACUAUGGUAUUAUAGAAGAGAUAUGGGAGGUUGACUAUACUAAGUUUUUUGUGUUGAACCCUGUGAUGUUCAAAUGUUUUGAAGAAUCCAAAUCCUUUGAAGGAUGUUGAAGCCUCUGCUUUGCUUGGUGUUGCUGUGCUGGUUUAAGCUUUGUUCUGGGGUAGUGUAUAUGUUGUAAUCCACCCUUGUAUUAAAUCUCAAGCAAUUAGCAUCUCAAUCUUUAUAAAAGUAAAAUGUUUUUCAAACUAAGUUGAAACAACCGAUUGUUUAUACUUAGGGGUUUUGAGAAAGAUUGAAAACUGUUUUUGAAUGGUUGAAACUGUUAAGUACCAAAACAACCGAUUGAUUCGAGGAAACAACCGAUUGUUUGUUUUGGGACCAUAACAGAAAAACUGUUUUCUUUGACUGAGCUUUAAAGAGUUUGUUAAGAUUUGAUAACAAACUAUAUCUUUGAAUAUAUUCAUAAAAACAGUUUUAAGAAUUAAGAAUCUUUUGACAAAGUUUUUCUAAGAGUUUUUUUCAAAGUGCUGAGAUUACUUAAGAGUUUAGUGAUUGAUUAAGGUGCUGGAAUAGGAUUCUACUUGUAUUGAUUUCAGAUAUNNNNNNNNNNNNNNNNNNNNNNNNNNNNNNNNNNNNNNNNNNNNNNNNNNNNNNNNNNNNNNNNNNNNNNNNNNNNNNNNNNNNNNNNNNNNNNNNNNNNUGUAACAAGUGUAACCUUUGUAAUCGUUUGAACAAUUCGUUUAUGUGUUUGCUGAGAUUGGCUGUGUGUUCUUGAGGUGUUCAAGAUCAGCAAUCUUAGUGUUGGCCAAGGAGAGUGUGUUUCUUGAGGUGUUCAAGGUCAUUCUCUUGGUUGUGGUGUAAGUGAUCAAAUGGUGAUUGCUUAGUGGUUAUCCUUAGGGUUUCUGAGAAGACUGGAUGUAGCUCUUGUUUGGAGUGAACCAGUAUAAACAACUGUGUACAAUUUCUCUAUCCCUAUCUCUUUAAAUUCAGUUUUGAUAUUUUGAAACUGGUAUAAACAACCGAUUGUUUCGCUAAAACAACCGAUUGUUUUUCCAGCUUUGUGCUUUUACUGUUUUGAUUUGAAAAACUGAAUCCUUAAUCAAGGUUCUUUUGAAGAAUUUUCAUUCUAAGCUUAAAAGUUUAAGAAAAUCUUUCUUAAACAAUUCACACCCCCCUCUCGUUUAAGGCCAUAUAUUGUAACAUUUUGUUCUAGUUUUCAAGAGUAAAUGGGUUGACAAUAAGAGUGAGGUUAAAAUUGAUGAAUUAGAAUUCACAUUAGUGGACUUUCAAAAGAUAGGUUAUUGGGAUGAGACAUUUAUAAUGGUUCAACAAGCAUCUAAGGUUUUUUAUGUCAAAUAUCCUACGUCAAAACAUUGGUAUGUUGUUUUACACGAAAAAAAAACAAACAAAAGGGAGGCUAUUGAUGAUAUUGAAAAUGGUGACCCCCCCAUUGAUGACUUUUGUACGACAAGUGCACUAUGUUGUCAGAAGUAAUAAUUUGUCCCUAAGGCCAUAUAUCGAACCCACAAGGAAUAGUUGAAUAAUCAAGUAAAAAAUUCACUAAAUAGAAAACAGAAUAGUAAAGUUUGUUGGAAUUUGUUAUGAUUGCAAUGAUUAAAAAGAAAACAAGUAAAAGAGUUUGUUGCUUCAAAUGAAAAAAUAAGUAUUGAAGUUCAUCUUUCUCACUCUUUUGUAUUUUGAUUAGCAUGACAAUAUUGUGUCAUUUGAUUGAUAUUGAUGCCCGUAUAAAAAUCAUUUAUAUCGAUUCCUCGCAUAUAAAAUUAUUAAGAUGUGUCCUAAAUAUUGACUCACAUAUUUAUAAAAACAUUUUAUCAUUAAGAUCAGACGUUGAAAGCAAUUAACAUUUCAAAUCUAUUCCUAGCAUUCAAAUAUGUUAAUCAUUAUCAUUUGGAUAAGAAACUUAGAAGUACUUUCUAGUCAAAUCUAAAUUUCGAGAUCAUGGUAAACCAAGCAUUACAAACAAAAUGACAAUACCAAUUAUCAUUCAAGAACAAAAUAUUAUGUUUAGAUAUCACCUCAAUACAUAAGAGUUCAAAUAGAUUAAUCUCAAUCCCAAAGGGUAGAAUUUGCUACACAUGUUGGCUGUUACAAACAGGGAGAACAAGAAAAGAAGAUCUAGGAUGUUUCUCCUUGACGGUUCCCUCCUCUAGGGUUUCUAACACCUUCUAUUCUACCAAUUGGAUUAUAAUUCACUCAAUGGUGUUUUCCUCUCAAUCUUGCGUCCCUAGGGUUGUGCCUCAAGCUUCCUAUUUAACCUAAUUGGCUUGGGUUAAGUGACUUCUCGCUUGGGAGUUAUUGGGCUCGCCUAGGCAGUUUCAUGAAAAAAGGUACAACGUCAUUGUAGCAAUCUUGCUUGGGCGAGAUCCUCUAGGGGCGUUUGGCUUAGGUGAGUUUGGGCGAGCUUUGGUGAGUGUUGGUGCGUUCCAGCUUUCCCUUUCUAGCUUUGUAUAUUCUCUUUUUGCCCAAUCAUCUCAAUUCUUUCCUAGAAUCCUGAAAUUAACAGAAAUUUAGGAAUAAGUUGUUCUUAUUCAAAUUAAAAUUAAAAAAAUAUAUAAAAAAUGUAUAAUUUCAUAAAUUAAGGGUUAUUUUAUGUUUGUUUUAUCAAUUAAUAUCCAUAAGUGCCUAUAUUUUAAUAUGAAAUAUUACUGAAAUCUGGCACUUAUUACCCGUUCAUGAACACCGAUGAUAAUGAAUAAAGAUAUCGAUGUAGUUGAUGAUGUACAUACAACCCGUAAAGACCACAGUGAGGGAAUUUACAUAUGAACAUUCAACCCACUAUGUACGAAUUAGAAAUAUUUUUUAUAAUACGAAUUUAAAAUUUUAUGUAUUUGUUUUAUAUGAUUUUCUUUCGAUACAAUUUAAGUAAUGUUUGUUUACCUAAUUUUUUAACACAGAUAUGGCUGACGAUCAGACUUCGAUUUCUUCUACCCCCCCUUCCGGAAGAUACACCAGAGGACCUACUAGACUGAGGCGUCUCUCAUUGAGGCGUGUUAGUGGUGAGAAGACACCUCUCAAUAGUGACGUCAACACCAGAAUGGCUUCUGGUCCUAAUGCUGACACUUUUAGCAGCUAUCUUAGAAUCUUCGCUCAUGAGAGGAUCUCCAUGUUGACAAAUUCAUGGGAUGAUGUGAUUAAGGUUGACCAGAACAUGUUUUGGGGAUAUCCUGGUAAUGUAUACAUUAUUAUUGUUAUCAUAUAUUGUUUUUAAUAUUAAUUGAUCAAUUUUAAUUUCAUGAUAUUUUUUUGUAGACGCAUUUUGAUAUCCCUAAUGUGGAACUGCUAAGAUCGAAGCUUAUAUAUAAUAUCAACAUUAAAUUCUGUUAGUUUAAAUCAUAGUUGAUGACGAAUUAUGUUUUGGACGUUAUAAAGGCUAAAAUGCUUGUUUAAAGUACACCAAUAUUGAUGAGGAGACAUUGCAUCUUUUUGUUCAAAGCCGUGAAUUUGAAGAGUGGUCAGUAUGUAAAGUUACUUAAUUAUUUUAUUUAUGGACCAUAACAUUAACUACUUAAUAUUAUUUGAUUCACUUUGCUUAUUUCAUUUAUGAUAGGAUCUUCGGAAGAAAGCCCAAGACAUAGCAUUAAAUAAUGUGACCUCGCACCUAAUGUCCCAUUCGGGGUAUUGUAUGCUUGGACAAUCAUUGAUGAUGGAAAAGAAACAAUCGAGAUAGGGGACUGCUUCUAAAAUUGGUAUAGGGGUUAGUGAACCUCCACCACCACCUACCCGUCACCAAAAAUGGAAGAUGACCCGAAUUAAAAGGUCAGGUACAUUACGUUCUAAGCAAUCACGGAUAGUCUUAGAAAAAAUUGUAACUUAUUUUUAUUCUAUUUUGCAUUUAUUUUAAAGCAUUAAUUAUAUUAAAAACUUAAAUGAUUUUGGUCUCUUGCAAGAUUUCUUGGUUGAGCAAAGCUCCCAAGGUAAUUUUGUACCUCAAAGUCGUCAAGAUAUUCUGGUUGAAGCAAUUGGAUGACCUAAACACCUUGGUCGUGUACGUGCAACUGAAAAAGGGGUUGGAAUUAAACAUUAUUUCGGAGCUGCACCAUGAUUCAUCCUCCUCCCCCACCUCAGAGACCAAAGUAGAAAUGACGACUGAGAUAUGACAAGAAUGCAUUAUAUUAAUUUAUAUUUAUGUAUUACAUCUAAUUUAAUACAAAUGUUCUUUAUUUUGUAGAAACCUCAUUGAAAACCAAGUCUGAAAAAGAAGCACAAGGUUUCCAUUGACGAUCCUAUAGCUUCUUUAACAACAACGACUAAAGAUAUUGGUCAAGACCCUAUCGAGAUUUCAUGGUAUGAUAUUGUUUUUGGAAGAAACACUAACAUGCCACUAUACAUAUAAAUGUCAGAUUUGUUAGAAUUUGCAGCUGGAAACCAAGAGCUCAAUAUAACUAUAAUUCAAUUUUUUAUGUUGUAAUUAUCUUUACCUAUAUUUCAAUUUACUUUAUGUUAAAUUAUUAUUGAUUGUACUUUAACUAAUAACUUGUAGGUAUUUGUGUGGAGUUUCUAUUAAUGACCAGAAUCAAGAUGUCUAUGGAUUCUUGGAUCCCUAUUAUAUUAAUCUAAUUGGAGCAAAGAAAGUCAAAACUCAAUCAUACAUCACUAACACUUUGAGUUUAGAGGGAAUUUUUUUUAUCUUUGCCCUUAUAUUAAUGAGUAAGUUCAAUUAUAAGUCGUCAAUUAUUACUAUUUCAUGUUUUAAAUAUUUACUAAUGAUAUAGGGGUCAAUUGGUAGUUACUUGUGUUAUCCACGGUUGAUAAGACUACUGUGUGGUUUUGUUCCCUGCACAAGAAGCCAUCCACACACCUGAAGCAUAUAAUUGAUGUGUAAUUACACUAUAAACUUAAUUGUGUAUGUUACUAAAACGUCUACUAUAAUGCGGUUUUUUUUGUAUUGAUCACGACAUGACGUGGAUAUAGAAUACUCAAAGGUCAACUGAGUGCAAAUUAUCAAAAGCUGACAUGGCUGAACCUAAAGGUUUGUACUUUUUGUCUUCCUCUUUUCAUUGUUUAUCAAUAUUAACUUUUAAUUUCUAUUAAAUUAUAGUGUAAUAGACAAUCGGGAGACUAUAAGUGUGGCUAUUACGUUAUGCAAUGGAUGAUUACCAUUGUAAGACUAGGCAUUAAAACAAAUUGGGAGAAGGUAAUAAUAUUUAAAUUAUUCUUUAUAAUUCUUUAACGUAUAUGUAUCUUAACACUAAUUAAUGUGAACCUUAUUUCAUAAUGCAAUUCUUUACGGAUGAGCAACCACUACCUUCGAUCAGCAUAAAUUAUGUGAGACAUGCUUGGGCCACAUGUUUCCUUAAUUUCUAUAACUCUAGGAUAACUAAUCAAUAGUAAAUGAAUUAGAUAGAUAUAUAGGAAUAUGUAUUAGUGUUUGUAAUAUGUUUUUAUCAAUAUAUAUAAUUUAAUUCUCUAAAUUUAUGUAUCUGGCCGACUGAGUUUAACUGAACAUGUUAAUUUAUAUGGAAAAAUACAUAAAACAUAAUGAAUUAAAAAAAUCCAUAAUAAAUGGCGGUUAUGACCAUAACCUCCGUUUAUAACUCUCGGAGAAGGGUAUACAACGGAGGUUACGAACCACCAUUUUAUACCUUCAUCUUUGGUGAGUCUAGGAAAGGGUAUAAAAUGACGAUUAUUACCAUAACCGUCAUUUUAUACCUCUUGCAUGUAUAAUAUUUGGCAAUGCAGGGAAGGGUCGAAAAUCGACAAUUAUGGUAAUAACCGUUGUUUAUGUAUGUCAUUAACAUGACGAUUAAAUAAUUGUCGUCUAUGCCCCAAGAGAAUAAACUACAUGUUUAAACACAGCGGUCUAAGAGCCAUCGUGUUAAUGCUAAAAUAACUGUCGUUUAUGUAUGUCAUUAACAUGGUGGUCAAAUAGUCGUCAUCUAUGUCUCAAGACGUGUUUAAACACAGUGGUUCAAGAGCCGCCAUUUUAAUGCUAAAAUAAUUGCUAUUUUUAACUUUUUUCGUACCGGUGUGGAGAGAUUGAGUUGUCAGGGUUAUACUCCAAAAGAACUUUUUUCUUUUAUCAAAAAAUUGUGACACAUUUAAAACAGUUAAAACGACUUUAAACACGAUAGAGUAGUUAUUGAAAGUUUAAUUUUAAAAUAUAAAUUGUCAUGUAAACAUUAUAUAUAGGAGUUAGUAGAUACUUUGAAACCUAAGAAUAUAUUUGGAAAACACAUAUCACUUAUGUAAAAAUUACUCAAAGCAAUAAAAAUCAAUAAAAUGAAUGUUGCAAUGUGGCAUCUUUCAAUCUUUUAUCUAUUCUCUCUCUUUAAACUUUAAUGUUUUGUUGGUAUUAGGGAGGAGAAAUGAGAGAGCGUAAAAUGAUUGAUUUAAGAGGAAAGUCUAGAGAAAAUUAUGUUGUUUAUAUUAAGCCUUUGUUUGUAUCCGGGUGAUUACUGUUCACUCAGAUUGAAAAGGAAGGAAACAUCACGUUUGCAUCUGGGUGUUUAUGGGUAUUAGAGAGUGAAGAAAGGCGAAGAAAGUGGAAAAGGGUUCUUUGCUAGGUUGUGAAGAUUUGGUGAGAAAGUAUUUGGUUUUACCAUAUUACCCAUCACCUAUUAUCCUAUGUGCCAUAACAGCCCGUGCCAUGCAGUUGCAGAUAUUCCCUCCACAUGAGAUUCUCACGCAUGAGAUUCCAUCUUCAUAAACACAGAUUCGUACAAUGUUCGGUGAGUUACUUCAAGUGUGGUGGGUGAUGAAUAAAUAUGAAAGAGAUGAUAAAUAUGGGAGAGGAGAGGAUGUGAGUUAUUUGUUUUGAGUUGACGGAGCUUAGAAUAGGUCGGAAAUGUGCGGUCGUCGGAGGUGCACGGUGAUAGGAGGUGUGCGAUCGUCGAAGGUUCGCAAGCGUUGGAGGUGCGAGGUUGUCGGCAAUUCGCAAGCGUUUGAGAUGUGCGGUUGUCAGAGGUGCAAGGUGUCGGUGGGGUUCCGUUCGUGGUGGUGUUCCGUAGGUGGCGUUGGACGAUAGACGGUUUCGUUGGUGGUGGUCGGUGGUGGUUCUGUUGGUGGUGCUCGGUGGAUGGUAGUGGUUCGCGGUGGUUGUUGGUGGUUUCGGCAUCGUUGUUCUCUACGUUUUCUGCAGGUAAAUUUCAUAGAUAAUGGAUUUGGAAUUUAGAGAAUGAAAUCUCGAGGAGAAGAAAUUUGUAAUGUUUACUUAUUUUUUUUAUUUAUGUUAAUAGAUGUAUGUUGUUGUCCUUUAAUUUUCUAAGUUCUUUGUUUAAGCGCAUUAAUGAAAUUUUGAAUGGAUUUUACUUUUAUCUGCUAGUUAAAAAAAACUUACUAAUAUUUAAAUUUUUUCUGGUAUUUGAAAAUACAUAGAAUUUAUGUAUAAUAUUUUUUUUCUAAAAAUAAAGUAAAAAAGCUUUAUAAAUAUUGUUUUAAAUUUAUAAAAUAAUUAUAAGUAUACAAAAUAUUUAAAUAUUUAAUUUUUUCUAAAAUCAAGUAAAAAAAAUUAUAAAUAUUUCUUUGAACAGGGUUUAAAAUAAUUAUAAGUAUACAAAAUAUUUAAAUAUUUUAAAAUACUACUUUAUAGAUAAUUUACAUAUAAUAUUUAAUUUUUUCCAAAAUCAACUAAAAAAAUUAUAAAUAUUAUUUUGAAUUUAUAAAAUAAUUACAAGUAUAUUGAAUAUUUAAAUAUUUUAAAAUAUUUAAAUAGAUAGUCUACUUAUAAUAUUUUAUUUUUUCUAAAAUCAAGUAAAAUAAUUUUAUAAACAUUUCUUUGAAUUUAUAAAAUAAUUAUAACUAUACAAAAUAUUUAAAUAUUUUAAAAUACUACCAUAGUCUACAUAUAAUUUUUUUUUUCUAAAUUCAAGUAAAAAUAUAUUUAUAAAUAUUAUUCUGAAUUUGUAAUACAAUUAUAACUAUACCACUUUACAGAGUUUAUAUAUAAUAUUUUAUUAUUUUAAAAUAAGUAAAAAAAUUUGUAGUACUAUUAUUUCUCUAAAAUGUGGUUCUUUAGACUUAAUAGUUAAACUUAUAUGAUUGUGAAGGAUUUGUGACCAUGGAUAAUGAUAAUCAUUGGUCUAUGUAUUUCAAAAAUGUCGAGAUGUGUAACACGAAUGACAUGAAUCCCGAUAUAGUUGGUGUUGAUUUCAAAAAUAUAAGAGCUAAUCAAUUUGCGGACACAAGUAGCAGCAAUGAUAAACAUUUGCAUGAUUGGAUAUGGAUUGAAUGUGUUGCUUGUGUUAAUCAAGACAAAUAAUGUUAUACCGGAGUCUAUUCCAUAAAAAGAGCAUCGUCGGCAAGAAUUGAUGUCGUACUUGGUCCAUACUGAAAGAUGUCGUGACAUUAUUCGCAUGGGUCCGAAAGCAUUUAUUAAUUUAUGUCAACGAAUAAGAGGAACUGGGAUGCUUAAAGAUACAUUCUAAUCUAAAGUUGAAGAACAAGUGGCUAAAUUUUUACACAUCAUUGGUCAUAACGUCAAGAAUCGAAGUGUUUCGUUCUUCUUUCAUCGGUCCGGGAAAACAGUGUCUCGUCACUUUCAUAAUGUUUUGAAGGCAAUAUUGAUGUUGCAUGGAGAGUUCUUAAUUCAACCAGCUGGGACUGAGGUUGAACCUCAUAUCUUAAACAACAAUCGACUUUUUCCAUACUUUAAGGUAUGAAUAUGAGAAACAAUAGUUAAAUAUUUAAUUCAUAUUGUAUGCAAUGCAGGUUAUUUAUAAAUGUGAAGUUGUUGUGUAUUAGAAUUGUUUGGGUGCCAUAGACGACACUCAAGUCCGUGUUAAAGUCCCCCGAGCUGAUGCUCCUCGUUUUCGUGGAUGAAAAGACUGGCCAACACAAAACGUAUUUACUGCUUGUGAUUUUGACAUGAAAUUCACAUAUGUUCUUGUGGGGUGGAAAGGAACAACCUUUGAUUCCAGGAUAUUGAAGGAUGCGUUUGUACGAGAGGACAUUGGUCAUUCCGGAAGGUUAGUUGAGUGUGUUUUCAAGUGCAAUAAAUAUUCAUUUGGUCACAUGACUUAUAAGUAAUAAUUGUUAAUGGAUGGUUGUAGGCAAAUACUACCUUGGAGAUGCGGGUUUUAUGCUCAAAGCCCAAGUUAUAACUCCAUAUAGCAGAGUUCGAUACCAUCUAAAAGAGUAUUUCCGAAAAGGUCCACAAAAUGCCCGUGAGUUGUUUAAUCAUUGUCAUUCCUAAAAAAGAAAUCUUAUCGAAAGAACAUUUGGUGUCCUCAAAAAGCGAUUUCCAAUUAUGGCUAGCGGUACAGAGAACCUCAUUACUUUGUGCACACUAUGACCGAUAUUGUUUUAGGAUGUUGUAUUCUUCAUAACUUUCUUCUCGGGGUGGAUAAUGAUGACUCUUUGUUGGAAGAAGUUGACCGUGAGUUGAUGCAAGGAGAUAUAGAUGCGUCACACUCGCAAACUCGUGAGGAUGACUACAGGCUCGGGUAAUAAAUCAGGGAUACUAUAGCGAAUGAAAUGUGGACAGGUUAUUGUAAUAAUUAAUUUUAUGUAACAUCCGUGAAAUUAUAUUUAUAUUGUUGUAAGAACAAUUUCACGGUUUAAUGUUGACAUUCCACCUUUAUUAAUAUUUAUGUAUGAAACUAUUUAUGUUAUUGCAAAAGUUUAACCUAUUUUUAUUAGGUUUUAUCUUGGAGCUCGGGAAGGGUAUUGCUUCAGAGUCAUUUGCAGGUGUCCGUGAACACAAAAAAUGGACUACCGACAUGGAUGUUUGACUAGAUCGAUGAGGCUUUUAUGGGUAACCGCAUUGAUGGUAGUUGGACAACGCAGGGUUACACAAACAUCGUUAAAUCCUUACAUCAGAGUGGAUUGGUAGGGAUUACAAAAAAUAAUGUGAAGAACAAAAGGCAAAAAAGCCUUAAGGACGGAUGACUUGAGAUCCAUGAUCUAUUUAGUGGACUGAGUGGUUUCGCUAGGAAUCCAAGCACGAAAAUUUUCGAGACCGAGGAUGAAGUGUGGGAAAUGUUGAUAAAGGUAACGUAUUCAACCUAAUGUUCACUUAUCGCAUACAUUAACUAGUAAUUAUGAAUAUGAAUGUAUUUCUUUUCAUUAAUGAACAAGCAAAGUCCUCGAUCGCAAAGUGGCGUGUUAAUCCCAUCAGGUACUACAAGUUGAUGGAAGACUUAUGGGGGCUUGAUCGUGCUACCGGCCAUGGUGGGAGAACAACACUGCAGUCAUCAAGUCGAACUCAGUCUCAUCAUUUUAAUGUAGAUCUUAAUGAUCACAAUAUGGAGGACAUCCCAGAGGAGCCAAAAAUGGAUGUGACUCAAUGUGAAACUCCUCGCUCAGCUGAUCCUAAUGUUGAUUCAUACAUCCCAGACCCUAAUCUGACACCCCCAUUGGUGCCACCUCAGCCAUCCCAGCCAUCAGGUGGUACUUCUUCUUCUAGAGGCUAAAAAAGAAAAGCCCCCAUGGUGGACGUCAUUGAUCUGCAAUUGGAAACACUUAACACAAGGUUUGAAGGAUUAACUAAUAUCAUUGGGAGGGGUAGUGACCAGUCAGAUAGGUUAUGUCAUAUUGCUGAGCGACAAACCAUUUCAUUUGAGGUUGUCGCUUUGUCAUCACAGCGAGUAGCUAAUGCUACGGAAGAAAAUCUGCAAUAUAACAAACAUCAUGUUGUUGCAGAAGAAGAACGAAACUCCAUAUUUAGUGAACACACGCGCACACUCCGUCAUACAUCGACUUUCCAUUACUCUGAGUAUGAUAUCUGGGAAAUGUUAGUGGAGAUGAACACACAGGAUGAAGAUUUGUUGGAUAACUGUUACGACUUCUUGUGUGAUCAUCCUAAUGCAAUAAAACAACUUUUUGUCUUGCCUCUCGAGCGAUGAAUGAGAAAGUUGGUGAAGAUAAUGAAUACAAAUCCCUAAACUAAGUAAAUAUUUUGUUGUAUUUUAUUAUGCAUGUAUUUUUCUUUUCGAAUUUAUAAUAUUAUUUAUGACACGAAUCCCUAAACAAAUUAAAGACUUCCAUGACUCUUUUGAAUGAUACAUAUUUCAAUGUAUCAUUCAUAUGUUUUUUCGAAACAUUAUUAUUAUUAUUAUACACAAAAAUUAUCAAUGAAUUUUGUUUUAAUAAACUAAAAUACUGCAUUAGUACGCAUUAAUAUUUAUUUCUUUAAAAAAAUUCCUUUAUUGAAUUAUAACUCAAACAAAUUAUUAGAAAUAAUUGUUCCAGUACCGGAAAUAAUCUUUUAAUUGCAUACAACUAUAAUUGAAAAAUAAAUAACUCACAAUUACAACUUUAUUUUACUUUAUUCUAAAUAAAAUUUAUGACAAUCAUAAAUAUGAUAAAAAAAUUUAUAUAAUUUAUAUUUUUCUGAAGUUAGCUCGAACACGGUAUCGAAAAUAAUGUUUCAAUUGCCGAAAAAAUAUUUUUAAUUAAAAAAUAAUUAUAAUUCACAAAUAAUAAAUCAAAUUAAUUUUUUUUAUCAAUUUUUAAAUCUAAGGGCAAAUGUGUAAAAUUACAUUUUUAUCAAUUAAAAAAAUACAAUUUCAAUCACACCCAUCACAUCACUCACAAUUUUUUUUAUAAACUUCGUUACACUUUCCACUCUAUUUACCUUAAUCCAAACACCCUAACUUUAUUUACACUUUCUCUUCAAAUCAUCUCAAAUCCACUUUUUCAUUUUCACUCCCUAAUCGAAACAAAGCCUAAAACUUUGUUUGAAUUGGGGAGUGGAAAGUUGAGGGUGUGGAGGAGUGGAAGUGUGAAGAUUUGAGAAGAAAGUGUGAAGAAAGUUGAGGAUGUUUGGAUUGGGGUAUGUUAGAGUGGAUGUGUGAACAAAGUUUAUUGAAACAUGUGAGUGAUUUAAUGGUUGUAAGGAUAUUUUGAAUUAUUUUGAGUUGUGUAAAUUGUAAGAUUACAAAUUUACCCUUGUAUAUAUAAAAAAUAAAAAUAAAUGAUAAUUACUUUUAUACACAUUUUAUUUAAUUAAAAUAAUUUAAAAUUUUAACUAUAAAUAAAAUAAUAAAAUAAUAUAGAAUUCAAAUAAAUAAAAUAUACAAUUGAAUUCUAUUAUUUAUACUUUUUAGAAUUUAAAUAUUUAAAUGGAUUUUAUAUUCUUAUUAAUAAAUCAAAAUCUAAAUUACUAUAAUAUAUAAUAAAAUUACUAAAAUAUUAGCCUAUAAUUUUAAAUAAUGUAUUUUAUUAAUUCUGAUUAAUAAGAAUUUUUUUUAAUAUUUUGAAAAAUAAAUACUAACAGAAUAUUAAAUUAGAACAAACAAAAACUAAAAAAUUAAAGGAAAAAUCAUAAAAAACAAAAAUUGAAAAAUUUGAAGAAAACAAAUUGAACAUAACCGAUUAUGCCUUGACUAAAAAAAAUAACAUAAUCGAUUACCCACUAUUUUUAGGAGUCUAAUCGAUUAUGUCUUCCCUUAAAAAAGAACUUAAUCGAUUAUGUUGAAUAUCUGAAUAGCAUAAUCGAUUAUGUCUAUUUUAAUAAACAGUACAUAUGAUUAUCCUCCUAAAAAUAGAGGUUAAUCGAUUAUGUUGUAUGCUUAAUCAACUAUUUUUUGGACAUAAUCGAUUAAGUCCUAUGUGUUUUUUCAUGCAUAAUCGAUGAGACACUAUUAAAAAUCUUAAAAUUAUUAUUUUAUAAAUUAAUCUGAAAUAUUAUUAUUAUUUUAAUAAUUAUAUUAUUAAUAUUAAUAAUACUUUUUCUUAUAAAUAUAUUUAUAUUUUAAGGUAUAUAAGUAUUUUUUAUUAAAAAUAUAUUUAAUAUUUUUAUUUUUAUUAUGAAUAUAUUAAAUAUUUUUUGGAUAUUUACAGUUUACUUGGAAUAAAAUCAAAUAAAAUUAAGUAAUAAAUUAUUUUCUAUUAAAAUUGAAUUCUAUUAUUUAUAUUUUUAGAAUUUAAUUAUUUAAAUGGAUUUUUUAUUUUCAUUAAUAAAUCAAAAUUUAGAUUAUUAUAAUAUAUUAUUCAAUUCUAUUAUUUAUACUUAUAGAAUUUAAAUAUUUAAAUGUAUUUUAUAUUCAUAAUAAGGAUAAAAAUGUAAAUGCUUAAAAGUCUAUGUGGUUUUCUCUUUUCUCAUUGCACUUUCUCUUCAUACAUGAAAGGAACCAUAAAACAUUUAACUUCUCCUUUUCACAUACCUUCCCCUUAUCCAUUCCUUGAAACAAACAAAACGUGUGAUGCAUUCUCACGUCUCCGCGUGAAGAGUGCACCCCUCAAUCCAAAGGUAGCAUAAGGGGAAGAGAGGAGAUUUGAAUAGAAAGAUUGUAGAUGAUUUGAUUGAUAUAGUUAAUAAUUUUUUUAUAUUAAUAUAUUUGAAAAAAAUUAUAAAAAAAAUUUAAAACUGUUAUAGAAUAAUAUAAUUUGUUUAAUAUAUUAUUUUAAUAUUUUUUACUUUAAUUUACUUAUUUUAUCAUAAUAAAUAUAAUUAUUAAAAUAAAAUAAUUAAUUAUCUUUGUGAACUGAAUAGUAUUUUCCGUGCAAUUCUCUUCUUAUAUUCUUAUAUGAGCGGAAAGUUUAUAUUACAACAAACUUUGUCUUUUUGUGAUUUUUUUAAGUUUCAAAUUCUUGAAAUUAGCAUUUUUUUUUUUUGCUUCUCCUUGCUUUGUUCUUGAAUUUUUUUCACGUCUAGAAACAAACACACAUAAGUUAUCUUUUUCUCUUUAAUCUCUUGUGAUUAUUUCUAUCCUAUGAACUAUAAGUAUGGUUUUUUAUUUGAUUCAAUUAGAUGGGUCUUAAUUCAUUUAUAAGUGUUGGAUCGAACAGUACAUCUUUAUUCUAUUGUCUAAAAAGUAUGUUAAAAAUGUGAAAGAAUAUAAAAGAGUAACAAAUUGAAUUUAUCCUAUCCUGGUUUAUGCAUCAGAUGGAAACAAAAUGUUGAUGUUAUGAAACGGAAGGAGGGCAUUUUCCAUGCAAUAAAGAGAUGGUCGUAGUCUGCAUAUUUGCAUGCAAAGAAACAGGAACAAUUAUGAAUGAUGAUGAUGAUGAUGAUGUACACACAGCAGUAAUUGAUGAGGAUAGAAUAGAGGGAUGGCAGGGACAGGGAUAGGGUGCGUAGAGGUAUCAUAUUAUUAGGCUACGUGUAAUCUCUACGUUGAAAGCACCAUGACGUAAAUGCCACCCACUACGACCAACAUGUUUUCUAAGGUAAAAAAAAAAAAACCUAGUUUAUGUAGAUAUUUAAUUAACUAUAAUUUUAAUGUUUUUCAGUUCUAUUUGUAUUGAAUUGAUGGGUACCCUUUCCAAUGGAAUAUGGGAUAUACUGAACAGAUAAACAUGGGUUGCAAACAUAUGGUAAGUGGAUCUAAAAGUAAAAACACUUUUGUCUUCUUCUCUUCCCUUAGCUGCUGCUACACUAUAUACUACAUGCCAAACACUUCUCUCCAAACAACUUUCCCAACCCUUAUCUUUGUCCAAAUAUUUUUGCAGCAAACUUUUAGGAUUCGUGACAGCCCUUAGGAAACAUAAUCACCCUAUACACCACUUUUCAUUUCAUGCAUCGCUCUUAACUUCAUCUAACAUGAGUGUGAGAAGAAGGAUAUGGUUUCGUAUGAUUCAAAGGCCAAAUAAUUGUAAAUGGGACUUGGAACCUUUACGUUGUUAUCACAACGAAUGUUAAUUAAGGUUGGGCAAGUUGAAGAUGUUCCCCAAUUCCUCGCGUGCAAGUUGAAAUUUGGCAAAGGGACAAAAGAGAUAAAAGAUUUUUCGAUGGAAAUAUGGUGGUGCAACAUUGGGUGGAAUUCACAGUGAGAGAAAGAAGAUUAUGCCGGCCAAGUAGGGCACCAUUAUUAACUGCAUUAUGAGAAUCUCCAAUUCAGCAUUAAACCCAGAGGGAGAAAACGACCACACCUAUGUUUCAGAAUCUUCUUUGGAAAAGAUAGAAUACGCUCUAAUUUUCUUAGGGUACCUUCACUGCUCUACUGUGAGUUUGGCAAAAAUAAAAUAAAAGACACUUCACGUCUCGGAGUUAAGUUUAACACAAUAUAUAUAUAUAUAUAUUGAUUUUGGCUUAAUGUCAAAUUUCACAUCGGUGGGUUCAUUGUUUAGGAAAGAGGUUUCAGGGUUAUAAAUUAAACUUUCAUCCUUUACGGUUAUAUAUUCCAAUUUGUAAUAUCUUCUCCCAUAAUAAUAAAAGUGAGUUGUUUUUGCUGUGCUCGGAGAUUAGGCUAAAUUGGUCAAACUCCGUUAACAAUUUUCUGGUGUGUUUUUUCCUCUUUAUCUUUUUUAUUAUUCCCACUCUGUUUAUUCAAUAUUAUUUGUUGGGUAGCUCUGUUAGGGUUCUGUUUUAGUGGGGAAGUUACCCGUUUUUUCCAACAAGUGGUAUCAAGAGCCGAAGGUUCGCCCUUGGGUUGUUUGAAAUUAUUUGUAAUAUUGAAUACUAUAUUUUGAGUUUGUAAUGGCAAAUAAGAAGAAGAAGCAAAGGAUGUAUCCAGAGUGUCGGGCUCCUCGUCAUCAUGGUCGAGGUUCCCGGUGUCCACUUUGAAAUUGGCGGUGGAAAUAUUUGAUGGCACUGGACAUUUAGGUAUGUGGCAAGGAGAGGUCUUGGACUCUCUUUUUCAACAGGGUCUUGAUAUUGCUAUUGAAGGAGAGAAACCAGAAGAGGUAGAGGAGAAAGACUGAAGCAUCAUCAACCGGUUGGCAUGCGGAACUAUUCGAUCCUGCGUGUCCAGAGAGCAGAAGUAUGCUGUAAAAAAAGAGACUUCUGCACACAAACUGUGGAAGGCAUUGGAGGACAAGUUUCUAAAGAAGAGUGGUCAGAACAAGCUCCUGAUGAAGAAAAGGUUGUUUCGAUUUGACUACCAACAAGGUACUACUAUGAAUGCACACAUCAUUAUGUUUAAUCAAUUAGUAGCAGACCUGUUGAAUUUAGAUGUGAAGUUUGAGGAUGAGGAUUUGGCUUUGAUGUUGUUAUCUUCUCUUCCUGAUGAAUUUGAACAUUUGGAGACUACGCUUCUUCACGGGAUAAGAUGAAAACCAAAUCAACAACAUCAGAAUAAGCAUUGGUGGCAAGAGGUCGUCAGCAAAGCCAAACAAAGGGCAGAAAAGGGAGGUCUAAGUCUAAAGGUCGAGCCGUUGCCAAAGAUGAGUGUGCUUUCUGUCAUGAGAAAGGACACUGGAAGAAAGACUGUCCAAAACUGCAGAAGAAAGGGAAGGCCCCGCAAGAUGCAAAUGUUGCAGAAUGCAAAAAUGAUGUGGAAUCAGAUAUCUCUUUAAUUGUCUCGCUUUCAGCAUCAUCGUAUCCAGAUGAGUGGAUAUUGGAUUCAGGUUGUACCUAUCAUAUGUGUCCCAUUCGGGAAUGGUUCUUUGAAUUUCAAGAACUCGAUGGUGGGGUUGUUUACAUGGGUAAUGAUAAUCCAUGUAAGACAGCUGUGAUAAGUUCAAUCAAGCUGCGGAAUCAUGAUGGAUCCACCAGAAUUUUGCGGGAUGUACGGUACGUGCCAAAGUUGAAGAAGAAUCUCAUCUCAUUGGGGGCUUUAGAAUCUAAAGGCCCAGUUGUGACAAUGCGAGAUGGAAUUCUUAAAGCAACUUCAGGAGCACCGGUGAUGUUGAAAGGCGUGAGGAAGAACAAUUUGUAUUACUAUCAAGGUAGUACAGUGGUGGGGACAGUAGCGACAACAACUUCUAGCACUAAGAAGGAUGCCGAGGCAACGAAGUUGUGGCAUAUGAGGUUGGGACAUGCUGGAGAGAUGUUACCUUUGAUGAAUUUGCCAUGUUAAAGAAGGUAAAUCCAGAAGGAGCUG
rnacentral:lncRNA from 1 species